UUAGGAAUCUUGGGCAAUGGGCGCAAGCCUGACCCAGCCAUGCCGCGUGUGUGAAGAAGGCCUUCGGGUUGUAAAGCACUUUCAGCGGUGAAGAAAAGCUCGGGGCUAAUACCUCCGAGUCUUGACGUUAACCACAGAAGAAGCACCGGCUAACUCCGUGCCAGCAGCCGCGGUAAUACGGAGGGUGCGAACGUUAAUCGGAAUCACUGGGCGUAAAGCGCGCGUAGGCGGUUUGUUAAGUGGGAUGUGAAAUCCCCGGGCUUAACCUGGGAAUUGCAUUUCAAACUGGCCGACUAGAGUACGGUAGAGGGAGGUAGAAUUUCCUGUGUAGCGGUGAAAUGCGUAGAUAUAGGAAGGAAUACCAGUGGCGAAGGCGGCCUCCUGGAUCGAUACUGACGCUGAGGCGCGAAAGCGUGGGGAGCAAACAGG
rnacentral:rRNA from 1 species